GUUAACGAUUUCUGUAAAUUACACUGUAUUUUACUGUAAUAUGAACUGUAUUUUACCGUAGGGCAUGUUAUACAGUAUGUUGCUGUAUUUUGAUGUUGCAUUGUGGGAAAUGUAAUCUUUGUGCCAGUAAAAUACUGUAUUUUCUAUUUACUGUAAAAUUUACAGUUAAUUAAAAAUACUGUAUUUUAAUAGCAGGUGGUGCUAAUUUGUUUUUUGGGGAUUAACUCUCUGAUUAAGCUAUCUUAUACAAAUAAUGUAAUAUUAUUGUAUUUAUAUAUUGAUUUAAAAUGUAAAGUAAAAUUCAGAAGACUUAAACAAAGUCCUAAAAACAAUCAAACAACUAAAUUAGUGCAAGUAGAGCUGAUUUAUUUAUCAAAACACAAUAUAAUCAUCUUCAUUAAAGUAUUUUGUAUAUUCGAAUUAAUUUAUAAAUGUAAGUGUUUAAAAAUUAGAGAUAGGUUUUGCCGGUUGUUGAUGAGUGAUGAAUACCAGCUGUGAAUUUUCUCAACGCGUGUAAAGCAGCCAUGACACAGGAAACCGAAAUAGUGUUCCAAUAUAAAGUGAGGGUCCUUGACAGUGGCCGAACCCGCAUACUACACGAUAUAAUGAUUCCCCACCUCGGGAGCUAUAGGGAACGAAUUGAGACACAGCCCUGGAUGUAAUCACGUCUGUGCUGAUCACGUGCCUGUACACAAACCCGCAGCUCACUUGCAAAAGAUUAUCCGGUUAUUUAUUACACGUAAAGUAAACGUUUUUAAUGUUAUCAUGAAUCAAUGUUAUAGUUUUGUAUGUCACAUUAUUUUUUGAGAAGAGUCAUGACUCAACGCGGACCUUACACGCUGUUAAUUUGUGUGUGCAUAUGGCGGUACAGGCUCUUUUGCACUCUAUGACCAGCCAUCAUUAAAUCGAAAUACAGUAAAAAAAAAAAUGAGCGCGAAACCCUGACACUUUACAGAAAGGCACGGAUAUCCCCGCCCGAAGAAGAAGAAGAGCACAGGACAAUGGUUGCAAGUUAAACAGCUGAACAUUUCACCAUCUGCAAAGAACAUUUCACCAUCGACAUAUCAACAUAAACGGUCCUCUUUUUCGAGUUUGACUGCGUUUGGUACAGGUCACAACAACAACGGCAGAUGUAGAGACCACACUUUCCCUUGCUUCCACUCCACGGCUGAUCAUGCUUGGUCACAACAACAACGGCAGAUGUAGAGACCACGCUUUCCCUUGCUUCCAUUCCACGGCUGAUCAUGCUUGGUAAGAUUCUUUAACACAUACUUUGGGAACAUUAAAAAGAUUAAAGGGAUAGUUGGGCCAAAAAAUUAUAUUAAUCCCAUGAUUUACUUACCCCCAAGCUGUCCGAGAUGCAUAUGUCCAUCGUUUUUCAGACAAACACAUUUUCAGAUAUUUUAGAAUAUGUUUUAGAACUUUCAGUUAAUUAAAUGUGAAGUUACGGGGUCCACGUCCUUCAAGUCCAAAAAAUGUGCGUCCAUCCUUCACAAAAUAAAUCCAAGUGGCUCCAGGAUGAUAAACAAAGGUCUUCUGAGGGUAAUUUGUGUGGUGCUGUUGGGAUUAAUAUCAUUUUUUGGCCGAACUAUCCCUUUAAUGCUUUGUUAAUGUUAGGCAUUAUGCUUAAAUUUUGGCAUUCUUCUUGAGUUUUGAAUAUCAAGAGUAAUGAAAUGAUGAUUGGCCUUUUUAGGUACCCCCCCCCAAAUUGUAUUCUGUACUCAUUUACUUAUUCUUGUGUUGUUCUUAACCUGCAUGAGUUAAAUUUCUUGAGCGAAGAUAAUAUUUUGAUAAAUGAUGGUAAUCUAAUAGUUGACAAU